GCGGCUGCAUCAUAUUGAAACAUCGGUUCCUGUAUGAUCACCGAAGUUAAGCAAUGUCAAGCCUGGUUAGUACCCAGAUGGUUGACUGCUUGGGAAUACCAGGGAGCUGUCAG